GCGGCCAACUUUGUCCCUCGGGUUGUUGGCUAUGGCUGCGGUGGUGCUCGAUGCUGGUGUCUUUGCCGAUCAAACUCUCGGUCGCCGCGCUGUCAAUAUUUUGAAUCCCGCGGCCCGUGGACGUCUUAAUGGGCUGUAUACGGGUCUGUNNNNNNNGUUGGAAGCGCCGCUGGCUCGGGAAUGACAGGGAUUGCGUGGACGUAUGGCGGGUGGGCUGGCGUAUGCCUCCUCGGCAUUUCCUUUGGCGCGACGGCCUUCGUUUUANNNNNNUGAAUCGGAAAUUGAGUAGUUAAGGAGCGCUUCCCGGUUAUUCCGACCAACGGACUCUUUGGACCGUUC
rnacentral:misc_RNA from 1 species